rnacentral:rRNA from 1 species
AUUGAACGCUGGCGGCAGGCCUAACACAUGCAAGUCGAGCGGAUGAGUGGAGCUUGCUCCAUGAUUCAGCGGCGGACGGGUGAGUAAUGCCUAGGAAUCUGCCUGGUAGUGGGGGACAACGUUUCGAAAGGAACGCUAAUACCGCAUACGUCCUACGGGAGAAAGUGGGGGAUCUUCGGACCUCACGCUAUCAGAUGAGCCUAGGUCGGAUUAGCUAGUUGGUGAGGUAAAGGCUCACCAAGGCGACGAUCCGUAACUGGUCUGAGAGGAUGAUCAGUCACACUGGAACUGAGACACGGUCCAGACUCCUACGGGAGGAAGCAGUGGGGAAUAUUGGACAAUGGGCGAAAGCCUGAUCCAGCCAUGCCGCGUGUGUGAAGAAGGUCUUCGGAUUGUAAAGCACUUUAAGUUGGGAGGAAGGGCAGUAAGUUAAUACCUUGCUGUUUUGACAUUACCAACAGAAUAAGCACCGGCUAACUUCGUGCCAGCCGCCGCGGUAAAAC